rnacentral:tmRNA from 1 species
GGGGAUGCACUGGUUUCGACGGGGGUGUGGAAGCCGGAUAAGCGAGCGGUAGUUUGUCCAGUCUACCUUAAAAAGGACACGUUAAAUAUAAACGCUAAAAAGAACAAUAAUUUCGCACCUAUGGCUAUGGCUGCGUAAGCAGUUAUAAGCUGUGCGUGUCAGCUUCGGCUCACCUGCAGGCCGAAUGUCUGGCAUCGAACAUGCAGGAAAACUUCAUGUGAAAGCCCGGCAGCAUGAGGGACUAACGGGAUAGCCGACGAGGAAGCCUGCUUCUGGGCGUCUUCUGAGGCGAAGCUUUAAAACAGAAGCUGCGCUCGGAGAAAUUCUGUCGGAAAUGCUUUCGGACAUGGGUUCAAUUCCCAUCAUCUCCACCA